rnacentral:rRNA from 1 species
CGCGUAGGCGGACUGUCAAGUCUGAUGUGAAAGCCCGGGGCUCAACCCCGGAAGUGCAUUGGAAACUGAUAGUCUUGAGUUCGGGAGAGGAAGGCAGAAUUCCAGGUGUAGGGGUGGAAUCCGUAGAUAUCUGGAGGAAAAUCAGUGGCGAAGGCGGCCUUCUGGAACGUAACUGACGCUGAGGCGCGAAAGCGUGGGGAGCAAACAGGAUUAGAUACCCUGGUAGUCC